rnacentral:rRNA from 1 species
UACGGAGGGUGCUAGCGUUGUUCGGAAUUACUGGGCGUAAAGCGCGUGUAGGCGGAUUUAGUAGUCGGGUGUGAAAGCCCUGGGCUUAACCCAGGAAGUGCGCUCGAAACCAUAAAUCUAGAGGUCCGGAGGGGAUCGGGGAAUUCCCAGUGUAGAGGUGAAAUUCGUAGAUAUUGGGAGGAACACCGGCGGCGAAGGCGCCGAUCUGGACGGAUUCUGACGCUGAGACGCGAAAGCGUGGGUAGCAAACAGGAUUAGAUACC